GUCCGGCUAGCUCAAUGGAAGAGCGUUCCUCUUUUGUGGAAUGGUUGCAAGUUCGAUUCUUGCGUUGGGCC